GUUAACGGUUGCCUGAGAAUUAAAUGUGUAGAUUUCAGGUUCUAUGAAAACAGAGAAUGUCUCCUCUGCAUGUUGCAAACUUGGCACAUUUGUGUCAGUUCAGUCGGCAUUGCCUGCGAAAAGAAAAAUCACCGGAGCAAAACUGACAAUUCUGGCACAGCAUGGACUCUCACCAGAAUUUGGUUCAGCAGCGAAGACUGGAGAUGGCCUGGUGGUCAGUCGGGAGUGAAUUGUAACAAGAUGAAAGCAAACUUGUCCUGUAAGCAAAUACGAGUUGGAGAGUAGGACUGUUAUGACAGAGAACAAUCUUCUGUGAGUGAUCCACCAUGAACCAGAAGUUUGUAAUGACUGCAGUUAGGAGCAAAAGAGCGGGAUUAAGCCCCACGAUGUCUCCACUGGCACACAACAGGAAGUAACUCCAUGUUUGUUGAAUGAGUUGAGGUGUGAAUGAACGAAAGAGCGUUGGAGGGAUGGAAUUUUCAACCAGAUGAUGAACAGAGGUGUGGAGGCGUGACUGGCAAGGAGGGUGGCAGUCCCUCUUCUGGACACGCAAGGGCAUGCAGUGCACAGGGUAAACGUCCACUGCUUUUGAGAGCUGGAGAAGCCACGUGAUCAGGAGACAGCCGGGUUUCAAUGGAGAAUCAGAGAAGAGACAGAGCAUUUGGGAGGCAGCCCAGGGGGCAGAGUGGAAAGCGUAGGGGGUGGGAGGAAGUCAGGGCCCCCACGUACGUGGAUGAUGUGCUCAAGGAUCAACUUCCUGGGGAAGGCAGGGUUGUGCUUUCAUCAUGAGGUUUAUUAAUGAGAACA